CCUUGUAUUGGGGCCAUGGGAAAAUAUUUACCAUGAAUAUAAUUGCUGCAUACUUGUAUGCAUUUACAUUAAUUAAUUGUCUAUCUCUUUACAUAUAUUUGUACAUGCCUUGGUACAGACCAGUAGUCAUUAUUUUGUCCUCUUUUUCCACUUUUACUUUUUUGCACAUACUCAGUCUAUUAUUAGCUUUUCUCCGUUUUUGUUUUGAAGGUCAUCGACUGAGUUUAGUUCUAUGCUACUUCGGGGGUCAAACAUGUUUUUUGACUUCUUAUGACUUUUGAUACUGGAGGGGUUCUACGUUAUUUUCCUAGGAUAGCAUCAAUAGCAUGAGUGCUCAAUCACUCCUUGCUCUCCUAAUCAUAUCUGGUAUCUAUUUUUUGUGGUUUUCUUGUCUGGUGAAAGAUGCUCUUCCCGACAUUUUAAUGUUAAUUUUACCUGGGAUAUAGUACGAAAAAAAGGAAGCUGAAAAGGAACUCUUAAAGGGUUUUACCUGGGAUAUGCUUGGGUCUUCUUGUUCAAUAUAUUUCUGGGAGUUCAGGUGUUUCCAGGGCAGAAACGCUCAGACGUUGACAAUUCAUUUCUUCUUUAUGCUUGUUUCCUAACUUUCUCUUUUUCUAUUUCUCUUUUUUUGUUCUCU